CGUUAUAUGGCCGAAAUGGUGAAGGCGUCGCCGAUUAUAGGCGAAGAUGCGGGUUUGAGUCCCGCAGGAACGU
rfam:Operophtera brumata OBRT01_Sc11361, whole genome shotgun sequence.